CGUUACAUCUGCUGGCUGAUGGAAAUUACCAACGUGGGACUGGUCAGGACCAUGGUUUAUGCAUUGGUCAAACAACCGUAAGCCGGUAUCUCGAUCAAUUUGUAGACGCUGUCAACAGAAGACUUAAAGACCAAUGGAUAAUAUUUCCUGGAAAUGAACGGUCCCGGCGAUCAGUUGCCACAGGAUUUGAGGAGGCAUACCGUCUGCCAAAUAUCUUGGGUGCAGUAGACUGCACCCAAGUGAAGAUAUUUCCUCCACCUCUGCCUCAUGGAGUGCAGUAUCUAAACCGCAAAGGUGUUCAUGCUCUUAAUGUACAGCUAGUUGCAGAUGUCAACUGCAAAAUCUUGGCAGUGAACGCAAGGUUUCCCGGCCGAGUGCAUGACUCGUUCAUAUUUAACAAUUCUUCCAUUAAGGAUGAAUUAAGAAGAUUGUACAACGGCCACAUUGGGGAUUAUUUCCUUUUGGGUAAGCAGAAA